CAGAGAACAUGAAACAAUGAGUGUUACCAUACACACUGUAAGGAGAGUGAUCAGACUAACACGGCUGCUACUCUGAAACCUGUCAGAAUCUAAUGUAACUAUUAACGCCCCUCGGAGAGCUCAUGGGCAAUUACUUUACAGGACAGUCCAGAAUUCUGCACGGACAACUGGCAACCAGCACAAGGGGCUGAGAACCCUGUGUGUGGGUAACACCUUGCAGACUUCAGAGACAGAAGGUGGACACAUCUGGGGCACAGCUGUUUCCACAUCCACGUGGCUUUGAUCUGCUUCCAGGUUUGUGUCAAGGUGAAGCCAAAUCUGGGACGCAGCUGCUUCCACGUCCAGCUGAGCUUGAGCCUUCAGGAAAGAAGCCCCUGAUGCAGUGGGCAGUUUAGUGUUCUGCAAACACGUACAAGUCACGGCAACCCAUUGGAGAACACCCUUCCUCCCAAGGGAUCCCAAAGCACUUCACAAACAUGGAAAUAUAAACGCCUCUGGGAUACAAGAUGGCAACCAGCCAGCUCACUGCACAGCCGCAGGGGAACGGAAAGUUUGAAGUUGACAACACUGAGGCAGAGUUUAUGGGUUCUUAGUCCAGGACUAGGAGCCAGCAGCUCCUGGUCCUAAUCCUGGCUCUGACAUCAUCUCUUACUGCAGCUAUGGGCAGUCACUUCUCAUCUGGCAAAUGGGAAUAAUGUUACUGACCUGCCACCCAGGGGAUUAGUUUGAUUACACUAGUGCCCUAAUUUAGCUAGGUGGUGUACAAUCCCUGUCUUGAAGAGCUUAUGUUCUAAAGGUUAUUGUCAAUCAAAAUACUAUAGCCCCAGCUGAUAAUGGAUAUGCUGUGUACUUGUGUAGAGGAUAUGCCCCUUAAACGAAUGCAAGCCAGGAAAGGCUGAGUUAAGGCAGUAUGGAUCUGAUCUCACUUUCAGUUACUUCAGUUGGCUUUGGAGCAGGCCCCAAAUGAACUUGGCGUGCAGGUAUAUUCUCUAGGGGUUAGGACUCCCGGGUUCUAUUCCCGAUCCUUCCACUUACUCCGUGUAUUAUUCUCUGUUUCCCGUGCUAUAAAAUGGAGACGAUGCUUUCCGAGUUCUCCAGGAGGAUGGGAAGUUGAAAUGUGUGAAAAGCACACAGAUUUUUAGAUGGAAGGUGCUAAAAACAAGGGGAGUACCGCCUUUUCCUGGAACACCUGCAUCGCUCAAUACACAGUGUGUCAGGCUGAACUCAUUUGCCGCUGAAGCCCUGCCGUGUCUGGUUUUUGUGGGUUUGUUUCAGGCUCUGGACAUUUAGUUAAUGCAGAGCUCUGUGGCUGAAUACUGAAGAAUGCUUUACCUUCAGUGACUACGUCUGGAGACCAGCCUUACCAGAAUCAAUAGAAAACCUGCAGUGCCCAGGGUGUAAGGGAAAUGAGCUUUGAUGUGUGACUAGAACUGGAAUCUUUGUUCCGCUCUAAUGACAUCUGACAGCACUUAGGCCAACUGAAGCCAUCUCCGGAUUCUCUAGGAACACUCUGACGGGGGGCUGGGUUUGUUUGAUAAGAUCCGUGCACAGCACAGGUAUUUCAAGCCUGUGUGGCUAGUAAAUUAGGCUCCCCUACCUUCCCUUGGGGCACAGUCCUGCUGCUAUUGCAUUCACUGGCAAAAUUCCAGUUCACUCUCAUGGGUGUAUGAUUGGGCCCUAGUAGAGCAGCAUUUGCUCCUCCCUCCCCCACCAUAAGUUAUGCAUGUUUAAUUUGCAGUGGAGCUGGGAUGUUCCAAACCACAUUAUUUCAAUAGCAGCCUGAGUCUCACUGCAGGUUAGAGUUUACCACAAUUGAAUGGAAGGAUCUGGCUGAGACAGCCAAGGUCAAGGCAAGGUUGCCCCUAGAAUUGAGUAAGUGGCAGCUUUGGAUUUUUAUUGGGAGGUUUUUGUGUUCUUUUUUUCUCUCUUAUCUACUCCUAUCCAUGCCCUCAACUGAAACAUCAGAUACUGCAGCUCAGUAGAGUUUGGUUAGUUAAUUGCUUGGUGUGGAGUUGGAAGUUAGCUAGAGAAGCCAUGCAAAAAGCUAGUUACAAUCCAGAUACCUUUAAAAAUAAAAUUUAAAAGAGUGUAAUCAACUUGUAGGAAACAGUGGGAAACAAGCUAUCUAGGAUGACAACUGAAUGCUAUUUUAUUUAACAUGGACAAAUGUACUGCGAACCAAGUAAUGUAAAGAAUUUCAUAUGCCUGUUAUUUCCUGUUACAGUGUCUGGAACGCCAUUUACCAUUACCGUAAUUUGAAAUUAAUAAAACAGAUCCAUUCUGUCCCAUCUGGAAGGGG